rnacentral:lncRNA from 10 species
UAUAUAUAUAAUUACAUUUAGAGAGUAAAGUUUCCAUAUAUUUAUUAAAUUUUAAAAUUUGGCUUCUCAAGUUUACAAACUAUGGACAAGAUUUGACUGUUGUUAUCUUACGAUAUAAAUCAUGUCAUAAAUUGUAAUACUUAAACUCAGAUGAUUCCUGCUUUCUUCACUGAUUACUCCCCCUCUGAAGCUAAAGAGCAGAAAGGAAUGAGGUACAACCAUGAUUCAAUUUGCUGCUGCACUGAAAAUAACUAUGGGUUGAAAUGCUUCUUAUUUUUACUCGCUUUCAUUGACCUCUUGUUAUUAGUUAUUAGAAUAGUGACCCAUUCAGAAGUAAUUUGUCAGUCAAUGUCCAAAGUAAUUAUGAUUUAAAACUAACAUGUUUCUCUUUCAUGAUCAGCUUUUUGGUUCUCAAAAUAAAUAUGCUUUUUAAGACUAAAAGUAUAAAUUUUGGGCAGUGAGGCCAGAGGAAAAAAAAAUGGAGCCAUGUGUCAACAAAAUAUCAAACUCUGUAAAACAUUUGAAGAGAUUUAUUCUGAGCAAACAUGAGUGACCAAUGGCCUGUGAGACAGCCCUCAGGAGACCCUGAGAACAUGUGUCCAAGGUGGUCAGCCUACAACUUGUUUUUUACAUUUUAAGGAGACUAAGACAUCAAUCAAUACAUGCAAGAUGUACAUUAGUUCUGUCCAGAAAGGCAAGACAACUGGAAGUAGGGCUUGCAAGUCAAAAGUCAAAGGCAGAUUCAAAGAUGUUCUGAUUGGCAAUUGGUUGAGUUAAGUAAUUGUCUAAAGGCUUACGAUCAAUAGAAAGGAAUACCUCGGUUAAGAUAAGGGGUUGUGGAGACCAAGGGUUUAUUAAGUAGAUGAAACCUCAAGAUAUCAGGCUUCUGAGAGACUAGAUUGUAAAUGUUUCUUAUCAGAUUGAAAGAGUCUCUUCUAUUAGACUUAAGAUCUGUAUUGGUGUUAAUGCUGGUCAGCUUUUUCUGAAUUACAAAAGGGAGGAAGGUAUAAUGAGACAUGUCUGACCUCCCCUUUCCCAUCAUGGCCUGAACUAGUUUUCAGGUUAACUUUGGAAUGCACCUUGCCAAAAGUAGAGGUCCAUUCAGAUGGUUGGGGGGCUUAGAAUUUUAGUUUUGGUUUACAUUCUCCCCCUUCUGGCCAACAUUUGCCAUAGGCAAGAUCAAUGGCCAGUAAACAUUUACUUUAUCGCAUAGUGUUGUCAGGGUGGCAUGGCUGCCUGCCCCAGGUUCAUCCUGUCCCUCAGUGGAACCCCUAU